UACGUAGGGUGCGAGCGUUGUCCGGAAUUAUUGGGCGUAAAGAGCUUGUAGGCGGUCUGUCGCGUCUGCUGUGAAAAUCCGGGGCUCAACCCCGGACUUGCAGUGGGUACGGGCAGACUAGAGUGUGGUAGGGGAGACUGGAAUUCCUGGUGUAGCGGUGAAAUGCGCAGAUAUCAGGAGGAACACCGAUGGCGAAGGCAGCUCGCUGGGACGUUACUGACGCUGAGACGCGAAAGCGUGGGGAGCAAACAGG
rnacentral:rRNA from 1 species